UCCUACGGGGGGCAGCAGCCGCGGUAAUACGUAGGGGGCAAGCGUUAUCCGGAAUUACUGGGUGUAAAGGGUGAGUAGGCGGCAUGGUAAGCCAGAUGUGAAAGCCUUGGGCUUAACCCGAGGAUUGCAUUUGGAACUAUCAAGCUAGAGUACAGGAGAGGAAAGCGGAAUUCCUAGUGUAGCGGUGAAAUGCGUAGAUAUUAGGAAGAACACCAGUGGCGAAGGCGGCUUUCUGGACUGAAACUGACGCUGAGGCACGAAAGCGUGGGGAGCGAACAGGAUUAGAUACCCCUGUAGUCCACGCG
rnacentral:rRNA from 1 species